rnacentral:antisense_RNA from 1 species
AACUUGCUCAUGGAUUUUGUGGGGGGCGUAGAUUGGAACCAAAAAGCACGCAUCGGCUUGUUGCUCCCUGUCGCCCUCUGUUGACAUGGGGAGAGAAGAGCGGGUCUGACUCGGAAAUGACGCCAUGAUGCUGAGAAACCACUCCUGGCGUUGCGGAAGGUGGGGUAUGGGGCCGGAAGACCCUCCCCCCGCGUCUUCAGAGGAGCGCUGUUUUUGGAGGAAUUAGGGGAAGGAGGCUGCCUGACUAUAUCAGCCACGGAUAGGAUACGUGAGAAUACUAGCAUGUCAAAGCUGGGAAUCAUCCUUAGGCAUCACCUAGCCAGUCCUGCCUCUCAUUUUAAGAUGCAUAGUGUUCAUAUGAGGAGAGACUUUCCCUUGUCUCCGUCAUCUGUGAUUUCACUUCCCUGACAGAAGACGAAGCUUCCAUCUCAGAUGUUUUCUUAAAUGAUGAAACAGCAUACGCCUCUGUUCUUGUCAGCUCAGGGAAAACAGAUCUGGGGACCUCUUCAUCUCUGCGUCGGGAAGCAUAGGUGGUAUAAUCCCCUCCUGUUACGUCCAGCGUUGCAUAGUCAGAAGCUUCGCCCUUGUAGUUGGUGCACACAGCACG